rnacentral:rRNA from 1 species
ACAGCAGCCGCCACGGUAAUACGUAGGGUGCGAGCGUUGUCCGGAAUUACUGGGCGUAAAGAGCUCGUAGGUGGUUUGUCGCGUUGUUUGUGAAAACUCACAGCUUAACUGUGGGCGUGCGGGCGAUACGGGCAGACUAGAGUACUGCAGGGGAGACUGGAAUUCCUGGUGUAGCGGUGGAAUGCGCAGAUAUCAGGAGGAACACCGGUGGCGAAGGCGGGUCUCUGGGCAGUAACUGACGCUGAGGAGCGAAAGCGUGGGGAGCGAACAGGAUUAGAUACCCCAGUAGUCCCUGUCUCUUAUAC